UAGAGUUUGAUCCUGGCUCAGAUUGAACGCUGGCGGUAUGCUUAACACAUGCAAGUCGAACGGGAACAUGGGUGCUUGCACCUGAUGACGAGUGGCGGACGGGGGAGUAAUGCGUAGGAAUUUGCCCAUUAGUGGGGGACAACCAGUGGAAACGCUGGCUAAUACCGCAUAAGCCCUACGGGGGAAAGCGGGGGAUCUUCGGACCUCGCGCUGAUGGAUGAGCCUACGUCAGAUUAGCUAGUUGGUAGGGUAAAGGCCUACCAAGGCGACGAUCUGUAGCUGGUCUGAGAGGAUGAUCAGCCACACUGGGACUGAGACACGGCCCAGACUCCUACGGGAGGCAGCAGUGGGGAAUAUUGGACAAUGGGCGCAAGCCUGAUCCAGCAAUGCCGCGUGUGUGAAGAAGGCCUGCGGGUUGUAAAGCACUUUCAAUUGUGAAGAAAGGAUUGUAGUUAAUAGCUGCGAUCUGUGACGUUACUCGCAGAAUAAGCACCGGCUAACUCCGUGCCAGCGGCCGCGGUAAUACGGAGGGUGCAAGCGUUAAUCGGAAUUACUGGGCGUAAAGCGCGCGUAGGUGGUCGUUUAAGUUAGAUGUGAAAGCCCUGGGCUCAACCUGGGAACUGCAUUUAGAACUGGAUAGCUAGAGUAUGGUAGAGGAGUGUGGAAUUUCAGGUGUAGCGGGUGAAAUGCGUAGAGAUCUGAAGGAACAUCAGUGGCGAAGGCGACACUCUGGACCAAUACUGACGCUGAGGUGCGAAAGCGUGGGUAGCAAACAGGAUUAGAUACCCUGGUAGUCCACGCCGUAAACGAUGAUAACUCGAUGCUGGCGAUAUACAGUCAGUGUCCAAGCGAAAGUGAUAAGUUAUCCACCUGGGGAGUACGAUCGCAAGGUUGAAACUCAAAGGAAUUGACGGGGGCCCGCACAAGCGGUGGAGCAUGUGGUUUAAUUCGAUGAUACGCGAGGAACCUUACCUGGGCUUAAAUGUAGAUUGACAGAUUGGGAAACCAGUUUUCUUCGGAACUAUUUACAAGGUGCUGCAUGGUUGUCGUCAGCUCGUGCCGUGAGGUGUCGGGUUAAGUCCCAUAACGAGCGCAACCCUUACCGUUAGUUGCCAGCGGGUAGAGCCGGGGGCUCUAGGAAAACUGCCCGCGCAAGCGGAGAGGAAGGUGGGGACGACGUCAAAUCAUCACGGCCCUUACGUCCAGGGCUACACACGUGCUACAAUGGUCGGUACAAAGGGCAGCUACCUGGUGACAGGAUGCUAAUCCCUAAAGCCGAUCUCAGUUCGGAUUGGAGUCUGCAACUCGACUCCAUGAAGCUGGAAUCGCUAGUAAUCGCGCAUCAGCCAUGGCGCGGUGAAUACGUUCCCGGGCCUUGUACACACCGCCCGUCAAACCAUGGAAGCCGGGGGUACCUGAAGUCAGUAACCGUUUAGGAGCCGCCUAGGGUAAAACUAGUGACUGGGGCUAAGUCGUAACAAGGUAACCA
rnacentral:rRNA from 1 species